rnacentral:piRNA from 1 species
UGGUCUUGUAGCUGGUUCUCACUAGCAUUUU